UUUCCUAUCGUCUAGUGGUUAGGACGCCGUACUUUCAGUAUGGAAACAAGGGUUCAAAUCCCUUUAGGAACG
rnacentral:tRNA from 1 species